UGACAGCUUUUUCAUUAACAUCCACGACCAAUUUCACUACUUUCUAGCCUCCAUACUCUCAGUGAAACAAUAACCUCUCAGCCUUCAGUUGAAAUGAAAAAGAGGAAUAAGCUACAAACAAAUUAUGUUUAUGCCUCCAUAACAGUACGGUGGAUGCUCUUCGACAAAGAAAUAUUGAACUCGAAAAAGUUAAUUUUGUGGGUGCUCCUCUGCCACGUAAAGUCUACAAAAAACAAAGUAAGAAGGAGUAAACGCUCUCAUUCAAUCAUUUUGCUGGACCAAAAUCAUUUCUAUCUCAUCGAUAAGACAAGGUCGAGGUUGAGCUAUACAGAUUCGUUGUUAUCAAGUAGACUGAACUGCUCUACCCUGGGAGAGGAGUCCGAUUUCGACUAGCACUACCGCUUUAGAGUCAAAUGAUAGUGAAAAUGGCGUUUCUCCACACAAAAGGAAGGAGUUGAUUACACAAAAAAAAUUUCACCGGUGGUAAGACAUGCUUCAAUUCGAAUUCUUCUAUCACUAACUGAUGCAUAUGAUCUAGAGCUUGAGCAAAUGGACGUAAAGACCGCAUUCUUGCACGGGGACUUGGCAGAAACAAUAUACAUGGAACAUUCCAAAGGAUUCAUCUCAAAAAAAGAUGAGAAUAAGAUUCUCACCUUUGCAUGCGGAAUUGGUGGCUAUUAAGGAGGCUCAUCGCCUUGCUCUUUGGUUGGAGUUCCAUCAGAUUUGUGUGGAGUCUAAUUGUCUUGAAGCCGUAAAGCUUCUUUCUUCACAUAUGGAAAUUUUGGGAGAGACAGAGGUUUUGGUUGCCGAAAUUCGUGGGCUUCAAAGGAGUUUAGAGAGAGUUACUUUCAGCCAUGUGCAGAGAGAUCAAAAUACUGUAGCCAAGUGUUUGACGAAAUAUGCGUUUGUUUAUGAAGCUUAAUUGUCUUGUUUCACCAUGGCCCAUUUAGUGCUUUUGUAGCCCAAGUGGCAAGUUUUUUUUAACGAAGUUUUUUUUUUCUUUUGGAUUUCAAAAAAAAAA